rnacentral:rRNA from 1 species
GGUUACAACCGUAUUGUUACAAACUCAGAUAACCUGGAGGUCAUUGAAGCCAUGAACAACGAAGGACGGACGGCGAGUACAAUGGCGACAGUGUUUGACCAUCAUUACUUUUUGGCUUGUGAUUUUCCCAUUACUAGAUUCAAGCACUGUAAUAGGGAAGCAAAUAAAGUUGAUCAUGAACUUGCUAAGUUAGCUAAAUUUUCUUCAACUUUUGAUUGGUUUGAGGAGCCUUUGAGUGAAAUUGUACCCCUCCUCAUAAACACGUAA